rnacentral:siRNA from 1 species
AAGCUAACGGUAGAUGGUGUUCCG